UCCGAGCCUGAGCUUCGUGCCUGAGCUACGAGCUUCGUGCCUGAGCUUCGCCUGCUUGAAACUGCAGAAAAUUAGAAGUGACGAGCUCGCCGCGCCUGCUUGCGAGCGUCAGGCCUGAGCUGCGAGCUCUGAGCCUGAGCUUCGUGCCUGAGCUACGAGCUCUUAGCCUGAGCUUCGCGCUCCGAGCCUGAGCUUCGCCCGCUUUAAACUGCAGAAAAUUUAAAGCUCAUGUCACGUGAGCUCGCCGCACCGGGCUGAGUCGACCUACGCGAGAGCUGCGAGCUUCGUGCCUGAGCCACGAGCUCCGAGCCUGAGCUGCGAGCUUCGUGCCUGAGCUCCGAGCUCGACCCUGAGCGUCCGCCCGCU